rnacentral:lncRNA from 1 species
UUUUGACUUUAUUUCGGCUUUGUUUCAAUGCUAACAUUUUUAUUUCUUUAAUAACACCCAGCUUUAUAUAAAAAUAUUAUUAAAACCGUGAUAACAUUAAUUAUAAUUUUUUUGAUUCCAUUUAUGUAAAUGGUUAUAAAAAAAGACACCUCAAAAAAAAAAUAAAAUAAAAAACAUUAAGUUUUUGAUUUAAAUUUAGUUUUCAAUUUAAAUUAAGUCAUUUUUUUUUUUUUUUUUUUUUAAAUGGAUAAUAAAGAAAAUGAAGAGAAUAGUGAAAAUUCCUUUAACAUUUUAUCUUAUUUUUAUAGUUUUUUAGGACUAGAUUCCGGAAAUAAUAAAACAGAUGAAAAUUUGUUGCCUCAAAAUAAGGACGAAGUAAUAAACCAACACACAUAUAAUGUUGAUCAUAUUGCCUACAAUUUAAAAUUAAGUAGAGCAUCAUUUAGGGAUGUACCGACUCGAUUUAGUAUAAACACUAUGGUUGAACAUAUAAAAGGUACAACAUACAUACGUACACAUACAUAUAUAUAUAUAUAUACAUCUUUAAUCAUGUAAUAAUUAUGAUA